rnacentral:rRNA from 1 species
AUACGUAGGUGGCAAGCGUUGUCCGGAUUUACUGGGUGUAAAGGGCGUGUAGGCGGAGAUGCAAGUCAGGAGUGAAAUCUAGGGGCUCAACCCCUAAACUGCUUUUGAAACUGUAUCCCUUGAGUAUCGGAGAGGCAGGCGGAAUUCCUAGUGUAGCGGUGAAAUGCGUAGAUAUUAGGAGGAACACCAGUGGCGAAGGCGGCCUGAUGGACGACAACUGACGCUGAGGCGCGAAAGCGUGGGGAGCAAACAGGAUUAGAUGCCCUGGUAGUCCACGCUGUAAACGAUGAAUACUAGGUGUGGGGGGACUGACCCCCUCCGUGCCGCAGUUAACACAAUAAGUAUUCCGCCUGGGGAGUACGGCCGCAAGGUUGAAACUCAAAUGAAUUGACGGGG